GUAGGGAAUCUUGCGCAAUGGGCGAAAGCCUGACGCAGCCAUGCCGCGUGAAUGAUGAAGGUCUUAGGAUUGUAAAAUUCUUUCACCGGGGACGAUAAUGACGGUACCCGGAGAAGAAGCCCCGGCUAACUUCGUGCCAGCAGCCGCGGUAAUACGAAGGGGGCUAGCGUUGCUCGGAAUUACUGGGCGUAAAGGGAGCGUAGGCGGAUAGUUUAGUCAGAGGUGAAAGCCCAGGGCUCAACCUUGGAAUUGCCUUUGAUACUGGCUAUCUUGAGUAUGGAAGAGGUAUGUGGAACUCCGAGUGUAGAGGUGAAAUUCGUAGAUAUUCGGAAGAACACCAGUGGCGAAGGCGACUCACUGGCCCGUUACUGACGCUGAGGCGCGAAAGCGUGGGGAGCAAACAGGAUUAGAAACCCUAGUAGUCC
rnacentral:rRNA from 1 species